GCCUGGAUAGCUCAACAGUUGAGCAUCUGCCUUCAGCUCAGGGUGUGAUCUCGGGAUAUGGGAUUGAGUCCCACUUUGGGCU
rnacentral:tRNA from 1 species